AUUGUGAAGAUUUGUUACAGGUGAAAGGAUUGCACUGACUCUUGUUUUGAUUUUGAAUGCAUGGAAAACUCGGAAUACAUGGAAAAGAGAGAGCGCUUAAUGAGAGAGAAAGCCCUCAAGAGGCCUUUUCUGCAAGAAGAUCAAGAAGAACCUGGGAUGGAAGAAAGGGACGAAGAAGACAAAGUACAGGAAGAAGAGAGGCCUGUGGAGGAAGAACCUGAGAAUCUGAGCGUAGAGAAAAAAGAGCCUUGGAGACCGAUAGGAAUUUAUACCGAAGAUGAAGAAGACCGAGCACCUGAGAAAUACGAGGAAGAAGAGAGGCCUGUGGAAGAAGAAGAGCCCCUGUAUAAUAUGCUCGAUGUACUUUGUGAAGUCUUGAAACCUGAAUUGGAUGCUCGGUGGAAUGAGAAGAAUGCAGUUGGUCAUGGAGAAGAGAAACCCCAGAAGGAAGCAAAGUUGGUGGGUGAAAAUAAAGAUGAAAAAGAAUGGGAGCCAAAGAAAUCGAAUAAUUCUAAUAGGCAACCAAGAGCUGAAGACUCUCUGCCGGAAAUGCCUGAGGAGUUGAAGAAUCACAUCCAAGAAAUGGGUGGAAGGAGUGUGAAGUUCCUGAUGGAGAGGAGGAUGUUCAAGACUGAUGAAGGGAGCCACUUGCCGAUUCCCAUUCAAGAAAUACUAACAGAAGAAGAAGAGAGAAUGUUUUUGGGGGAAGGAAUAGGAAUGGAAGUGGAGGUUGUAGAGCCUUGUCUUCAACACGCUCACAUAGCCAUCAGGAAGUGGAAGGUGGGAAAGGGCCACAACUACGUCUUCGCAAACAAGAACUGGGUCAAUGUUGUCGAGAGAAAUGCACUCUGGAAAGGCACCGUAGUCCAGGUGUGGUCCUUUCGGAACAUGGAUUCCAAGCUGUGCUUUGCUGUCGUUAGGGUUUAAGGAGGAGGAGGAGAAGAAGAUGAUGGCAGCACAAGCCUAAAGCACUGCAAAUACCAGCUAAGUAGACUUGAUGCUAUACCACCUUCAAGAACAAUAAUAUUCUUAGAAUUUUUCAUGCAAAUGUUCUUCAUUCAUUCAAAGGUUGUUCUUAGAGUUUCUGAUUCUUGAUGAAUAAACAGUUGGUAGUUUUUCGUUAAUUUUCUUGAUUCUUGAUCUUUGGCUUGUUCCCCAAACACCAUCAACGAUGUGGGUUCCAGUGAUGUUGACCAACUAUGGCAGACCUUCACCAGGACCUCAGGAGUUCAUUUCCACGACGAAUUUUUAGAGAUGUCUUGUGUGAAGGCAAUGAUUGGUUGAGGAAAAGUCGAAAUAAUCCUUGGAAAAUGACCGUUUAUCAAGACUAAUUUAGAAAAAUCAAAAUAAUUCUCCAAUCCUACACUUAUUAUCUAUAUAUUUUGAAAUAUCAUGUCACUAGGAAAUGUAUAUUCUAUCAUAUCAUUUUUAAUAGGAUAUGAUAUAUUUAAAUAUUAUAUUCAAUAGGUAUGAUAUCUUAAAUUAGGAUAAUCGAUAAAACAUGCUAUAUUACGUUUAUAUUUAGUUUAUAAAAUGAAUAAAAAAAUAAAAUAGAAUAUAUGUUAUUUUUCAAAUUUUAAAAUAAAAAUUAUAUUACAUUCUAAAUAAUUUUUUAUUAUAAAAAAAUAUAAAAAUAUUCAUGAUUAAAAUAUUUAAAUUUUAUAAAUAAUGUUUUAUAUUAUGUUAUUUGUAAUAUAUAAGAAUAUUUUUAUAUAUUAAAUAAUACAUAUAUUAAUAUUAUUUUAUAAAUUUUUGAGUUCUUUUUAACCAUAAAUUAUAUUUUAUUAUAAAAAAAAUUAUUUUAUAAAAUAAUUAAUAUAAAAAAAUAAAUAAAUUUAUAAUACAUUGGAUAUGUAUAUUAUAUAUUUUAACUUAGUAUUAACAUAUUUAUAAAAAAUAAAGCAAAUAAUAUCUCUCACAAUUUAUCUUAUCUUAUAUUUAAUUGAAUAUAUGAUAAGAUAAGUGGAAUAUAGAAUAAGAUAAGCGAUGUAAUAAUUUGUCAUAUCUCAUCAUCAACUAAAUAUGCCAACCAAAACAUGGUCUUAAAACACUUCUUUGUAGGAUUUUAAUUUUAAAUUAAACCCUUAUUUAUUUAUUAAAAAAAAAACAUCAUACACAAAUUUAUAUAGGAAUGAUAAUAUGGAGGGUUUAGGAUUGGACUCAAAAAAUAGGAUAAGAGAAUUUAGUAUAGCACCUUCUUAAAGCACGUCGAAGUAAGAAUUUAACUUUAAAUUAAACUCCUUUUUAUUUAUUAAAAAAAUAAUAAUCAUAAAUAAACCUACUUAGCGAUGAUAAUGUAGAGGGUGUAGGACUCAUCUCAAAAAAUAGGAUACAAAAAUUUCUUAUAUUUAUCCAUCUCAAAUAGUGAUUUGCUUUAGUUAUAUUUUAGGUUCAAUUGGGUUCGGUGAUUUUUUCAUUAAUGAUGAUAAAUAUUUAUUUACAAAUAGAUUUGAGUUUUAUUAUAAUUUGAACUCUAUCUCCUACUCUAAUUCAAACUAAUUACUUUGAUUCAAACUCUAUAUUUUACUUUAAUUCAAACAAAUAAUAAAUAGAUAAAUAUUAAUAAUUAGAGACGAAGCUAAACCCUAACCCACUCCCUCGGAAAGAGGACGAUACCAAUUGGGCCUCGCUGAACAGGCCCAAUCCAAUGUAUGGCCUGUGUAGACGAUCCAAGAUUAAGGGCUGGACCUACGCUGGGUUGGGACGAGUUUGCAGAGAACCCCGAAAUCAAGCCCAAUCCAUGCAUUUAAUUGAUAAACCAACAUGAAAAACAUGCAUAACAAAUUCAUAGUCUUAAAGGUAAUUGCAUGAAUAAUAAAAAAAUCCCUAAUACUCGUAUCAAAAACUCUAAAAAAUAAGUAAAUAAAAAAGAAAAAGAAAAACUGGUCUUCAAUGUCUUCAAUGUUGCUGGUCUUCAGCUUCUCCAUUGCUGCUGUUGUGUUUUCAUGGGUUAACCCUAACAAGAGCAAACCACAAUUCGGACCCGACCCGAAAGGACCAUACUUGAAUUCGAGUUCUUCUCCUAAGUGAAUUGUUAUUUACUAUCAACUUCCAUUCCCUCGUAAACACGUAGAGAUGACAACUUUCCUUCAUCUUCCAUUUCUUGAAGGUUACUGUAGUUUCUUCCAGAGAUGGUUGUAUUAGUUUUACUUGCAUCCCUUCCACCACCCUCAUCUUUUCGUCUUCACUCAAGAACUCCCUUCGGAUUUGGUUCAAGGGCAUGGAUAAUCUGUUUUCAUUUUCGUUUAUAUCAGUCUUAAAUAACUGCUUCUCUAGAACCAGAAUCGGACGGGUGCCAUUCAUCUCUCUUAUGCGAACUUUCAAAUCUUCCGGAAGCUCUGGAGGAGGAUCUUCAUCUUCAUCCAUCUCCACCCUCGGAAGAUCAAGGCCAACUCCAAUAUUCUGCUCCAUCCUGAGAGGAGGAUCUUCACCUUCAUCCAGCUCCACCCUCGGAAGAUCAAGGCCAACUUCAAUAUUCUGCUCCACCGGAAGCUCUGGAGGAGGAUCUUCACCUUCACCCAUCUCCACCCUCGGAAGAUCAAGGCCAACUCCAAUAUUCUGCUCCAUCCUGAGAUUCCACUGAUUUUCCAAGUCAUCGUGUAAAUGUUCAAUAAUACCUUCGACAAAAAUUUUCAUCGGUCUCCAAGGAUCUUCUUCUUCCUCUAUGCUUGGUUUCUCAGGUUCCUCUUCCACAGGCCUCUCGUCUUCCUUGUAUGUCUCAGAUACUUGGUCUUCAUCUUCAAUGUAAAUUUCCAUCUGUCUCCAAGGCUCUUCUUCUUCCUCUAUGCUCAGUUUCUCAGGUACUCGGUCUUCUCCAUUCCUUUCUUCAAUCACUAACGUUCCCUUCCUUGAUCUUUCCCUCUUUCUGGGUUCUUCUUCCAGAAAAGGCCUCUUGAGAGUUUUCUCUCUCAAUAAGCGCUUUCUCUUGCAUUUAAAGCACUCCAUGCGGUCUGGAUGCUCCCCCUCCAUAUCUUCACAAGAGCAGAGAACCAAGCAAAUUAUUUUUGUGAAGCUUUUUUCUCCCCUUUCACUUAGACUUCCGUAUUUAACCUAAGCAAUUAGAAACCUUUCCCGACAGAAAUUAGAAACCUUUCCUAACACAAAUUAGAAAUUAGAAACCCUCCCUUCUACUAGUUGUCCUGGAUAUCAAAAUCUUAGGUGGAAGUGUUUUAAGGAGCUGCAUUUGAGUUAAAUUAAACUUUCAAAAAUAUUUAAAUUAUUUUUAAUUACCUUUUAAAAUAUAACUAAAGAAGAAUCACCAUUUGAGAUGGGAUAAAUAUAAGAAAUUCUCUUAUCCUAUUUUUUUGAGACUAGUCCUAAAGAUCUUUAAAUAUGUGUAGCAUGAUUUUUUUUAAAAAAAAAUUUAAUUAAUAAAUAAGGGUUUAAUUUAGAGUUGAAAAAAAUCCUCCAUAGAAGUGCCUUAAGGAGGUACAUUUGAGUUAAACUAAACUACUAAACUAUUGUAAAAUAAUAAUAAUAAUAUUAAUAAUCAAUCAAAAAAAAAAAACCUAACUUAUUAAAAAUAGGACAAAUCAAAUUUUCCUCGAAAAACCCAAAAGAAGAAAGCCUAAGAACAACAUCGAUCCAGUUCUUGUUUGUGAAUAUAUAGAUGUAACCAUUGUUUUUCUUCCUUUUGUUGGCGGUUUUAUAAGUGUGUUGAAGAGAGUGGAGGGCUCUACAAGUCUAAAACCUCAACUUCCAUUCCUCCCUCCCAAAACAUCUUUUCCUCUGCUUCCGUUAAAAACUCCCUUUUUAUUUGUUUAAUCAAAACUAGGGAGUGGCUCACUUCAUCAAUCUUGCACAUUUUUAACUCUAUUCUAUUGUAUUUAAACGUGGUUUUAAAAAAUGUUUCUAACAUUUUUAACACUUAAAUGAUAAAAAAUUUUAAGUAUUAAAAAUAUUAAAUGUGUUUUCUAAAAUUACUAUCAAACAAACUCUUCAUCAAGGUGUGUGUGAAUGUUAUUUUUUUCCCAUUUCUUUUUAUGUGUGGUUUCUCAAUGGAAUUUACAAUUUAGGUGGAUUUAACUUCAAUUAAUAAAGAUUAAAUUAAUGUGAUUAUGUAGAGUUAAGAAUUUCUUUCUUUUUCUUUGCCCUUGUUAAAGAUUCCACAGGAGAUGAGGGAUAAGUUUCUUAGAGUGGAAGACAUGAAGAAGGAUGAUAAAAAUAAUGACCACUCAGACCCUUCUUUUGAUCUUGAGUCAUUAAAAAAGGCUGUACAAAAAUGCAGAGAAAAUAGAGAGCGUUUAAUGAGACAGAAACCUCUCGAGAGGGGAUUUCUGGAAGAAGAACCUCAGACACGGAUGGGAAUCAGCGAUGAUGAAGAAAAGGAGAGAAUUAGGAGACGGAAUAAUGGGCUCAUCGUUCAAUUGGAAUGGGAGAAGUUGGAAAUGGAGAAGAAACGGAGGAUGGAACAGAUUGGAGUCGGCCAUGAAGAAGAAGAAGAAGAAGAGGAGCUAGGAAAAACGGAGACUUCCCCAAGAUUGCAAUAAUCGAAUCAUUCUAAGAUUGGAGUCGAAGAUUCUGGGCGGAAGAGAAGGAGGUGUGUGUGAAGGUGCUGCAAAUACCAGCUAAGUAGACUUCAACAACAAUAAUAUUCUGGUUUUUUCAUGCAAAGUGUUCUUCAUUCACUGGUUAAUAUUCUUAGGGUUUCUUCUUUUGGGGUUUUCUGAAAGAUUUGUUCCGGUAUCAGUUUUUGAAGUGGAGAUCUAGCCAUGUCAUGCUGGUUGAUUCUUGGUGAAUAAACAGUCUGUAGUACUUUUCAUUAAUUUUCCUUUUUAUUUUCCUGGAAAGAAAAAGAAAAAAAUUUAGUUAUGGAUUCCCCUAUUGAUGAUGCAUGAAUUAAUCUAUCCUGUUUUUAAGGAUUGUUUGUCUUGGAAGGUGACUUAAAAACUACUUUAAUUUUAUAAAAAUUAAGGAUAAUUUCAAUAUUUUAAAGGGAUUUGUUUAACUUAAAAAUCAACCAUUAAUAUUUUUAUUUCAUCUCUAAGCAUGAUUCCACCAAAUAUUUAGGAUAGCUAUUAUAACGGGGAAAUAGGGUUUCUAAUUUGUGUUAGGAAAGGUUUCUAAUUGGUAAGGAUACAUAUAGAAGCAUAUGUGAAGUGGAGCGCAUCACCUCACAAUCACAAUUCUUUUUGAAUAAGUUUUUUUGUUCCUUUCCUCUGGUGAAGAUAUGAAGGGUUACUCGCAAAGGAGAAAGCGCUUAGUGAGAGAGAAAGGUCUCAAGAGGCCCAUUGUCAAAGAAGAAGAAGAACCGGAAUCCAAGGAAGAAGAAAGGCUCGUGGAAGAAGAACCUAAGAAAUUGAGCAUAGAGGAAGAAGAGGAGGCCCAGAGACGGAUGAAAAUCAACCAUGAUGAAGAAAAGGAGCGAAGUGGGAGAAUUUUUAUGGAAAGUAUUAUUGAAAUUUUAUCUGAUGAGAUGGAAAUUCAUCGGAUGAAGCAGAUUGCAAUUGAUCUUCUUGAAGGUUUCAAGACUGGGAUAAGAGAGAUGAAUGAUAAUAUGAAUAUCGCUUUACUUCAUAUCAAAAGUAUUAUUGCAAUUUUAUCCAAUGAGUUGGAAAUUCGGCGAAGACGAAUGGUCCACAGUGGAGUUGAUUUUCCCGAAGAUUUCAAAAAUUGAAAAUUUUGGUGUGCUCUCAUUAAGGCUAACCAGUGAAAGCACAACAAAGAUGAAGAAGAAUGGAAACACCCAAUUUUGUAGUGGAGAGUCUGGAGACUAUUAUAACUUUAGUCAUUGAUAUUUUUUUUUGGGUUUAAUUUUUUUUUUUUUUGGGUUUAAUGUCAUCCAUUGUGGAAUUACAAUCAUAUUGUCCUUCUAUUCUAUGGGCUGAUAAUAAUUAAUCACAUAAUUACUUUCAUACUAGAAGUUAUCUCCUUUACAAAUAUAUCUCCUACUUUCUAGAUAUUAAUUAAUAUAUAUCAUUGCCUAAAAAUUUAAUUAUUUUCCUUUAAUUGUUAUUUUAAUACAAAUAUCAACCUUCAAUUCAUAGUAGUUUUAUUUAGUGAAAAUUAUAAUUUUAUUUUUAUUUUUAUUCUAAGUGAAUUCAAGUAUUAAAGUAUUUAUAAUAACAUCUCUUUUCUUUGCAAGUUAUUAAAAGUUAUUAAAUUAACUAAAAAUAAAAUAAGAUAUGUUUCAUAUUCUACCAAAAUAUUUUUUUACAAAUCUUUAAUCUUUUAUCUUUCAAAGAAAAUAGCAUUGGAAGAAAAAAAAAAUAAUUAAAUCAUUUUUCACUAACUAAUAUACUAUGUGAAUUGAUAUAUUUUAGAAAUCAUAAUAUAAGCAUUGAAAUAUUAACCCAAUAUCUAUUAGGGUAACUCUUUUACCAUUUGAAAUAUUAAUCUAAUGUAAAUAUGUUGGAUAUUAAGAAUAAACAAAAUUUCCAAAAUCAAACAAGUAUAUAAAAAACUCAUAAUCUUUUACCAAGAAAACCUCACAUUAAUUGUGGAGAUAAAAAAUCAAAGGAUUUAGUAAUUUAGUAAAUUUAAGUUCACUGUUUAAGAUUCAGUCACAUAAUUAGUGAAUUUAUUUUCAAUAAUUUUAGUUUAAUUAUACUGAUUGAUGUGAAUAAGUUACUUUUAGUUGAAUAGAAAAAUAAAAUAUUUUUGGCUUUUUUUUUAUUCAAGCCAAAAAAUAAACACCACCUAAAUCAAAGUUUGGAAUUAAAAUAAAUAAUUAUAUAUAAUUUAUCAAAUAAAAGUGGGAAAAAAAAUCACAAUUAUAUGAAUUCUUUUUAAAUAGUUUUUUUUUUUUGGUUUUUUGCUAUUGUGAAGAUUUGUUACAGGUGAAGGAUUGCACAGACUCUUGUUUUGAUUUUGAAUGCAUGGAAAAGAGAGAGCGCUUAAUGAGAGAGAAAGCUCUCAAGAGGCCUUUUCUGCAAGAAGAUCAAGAAGAACCUGAGAUGGAAGAAAGGGACGAAGAAGACAAAGUACAGGAAAGAGAGAGGCCUGUGGAGGAAGAACCUGAGAAUCUGAGCGUAGAUAAAAAAGAGCCUUGGAGACCGAUAGAAAUUUAUACCGAAGAUGAAGAACACCGAGCACCUGAGAAAUACGAGGAAGAAGAAUGGCCC
rnacentral:lncRNA from 1 species